GGCAAGCAUGUUGCUUACGGAUGCUGUAAACGAUGUGUUCUAUAUCAAUGUAUAGAGUCUGGUUUAGUUUAUUGGUAUUAUGAUUUCAUUUGGUUUACAAUAUCAGUCAAGUAAUAAACUAAACCGAACUGAUCUUGUAAACCAAAUAAAAUCAUAAUACCAAUAAACUAAACCAGACUCUAUACAUUGAUAGUAUGUUCUAAGAGCAUGCGCAUCGACGUAUUUAGAAGGGGUCAUGGGCUCGGUAUCAUAUGGGCCAAAAUUAAAAAAAAAAAGAAAAAAUUGAUUUAAAUGAGUGAUCCGGUUCAUGGGAGUGAACCCGUAUGAUACGGGUUCAUGGCACGUGUCGACGCAAGAGUGGCCACGCGGUAUCGCGUCGAAGCGGAGAAAAAAAGGGAAUCGCGUGAGAGGAAUCAUUUUCUCUUCUCCUUUCGAAAACUAGGGUUUCUCUAUCUCGGAGGCGAUUUCUCGUGCGACGCCGACUGUGGGUGAUUUAGUGGUUCUAAUCGACGGCGCACUCUCUCCCCGACGAGCUAAGGUCCUAAAGCCGAGAAAUUUGCACAAAAGCAAGAAUCCGCCAGAAAAGAUGUCGAACGGGCUUUUGGAGUAUUGCAGUCGAGGUUUGCAAUUGUUAAAAAC
rnacentral:lncRNA from 1 species